AUUGAACGCUGGCGGCAGGCCUAACACAUGCAAGUCGAACGUGUGGCGGCCGGGUGCGUCAUGUCUGGGAAACUGCCUGCUGGUGGGGACUCACUAGUGCAACCGGGUGUUAAUACCGCAUACCCUGGGCUGUUCCCGGAUGGGCUUAGGUUGUGGGUGGGGUAACGGCUCACCUCGGCGACGAUCCCUAGCUGGUCUGAGAGGCUGACCGGCCACACUGGAACUGGGACACGGUCCAUGCUCCUACGGGAGGCAGCAGUGGGGAAUAUUGCACAAGGGGCGGAAGCCUGAUGCAGCCAUGCCGCGUGUAUGAAGAAGGCCUUCGGGUUGUAAAGUACUUUCAGCGGGGAGGCGUUACCCGCAGAAGAAGCACCGGCUAACUCCGUGCCAGCAGCCGCGGUAAUAC
rnacentral:rRNA from 1 species